UGGCGGACGGGUGAGUAAUGUCCGGGAAACUGCCCGAUGGAGGGGGAUAACUACUGGAAACGGUAGCUAAUACCGCAUAACGUCGCAAGACCAAAGAGGGGGACCUUAGGGCCUCUUGCCAUCGGAUGUGCCCAGAUGGGAUUAGCUAGUAGGUGGGGUAACGGCUCACCUAGGCGACGAUCCCUAGCUGGUCUGAGAGGAUGACCAGCCACACUGGAACUGAGACACGGUCCAG
rnacentral:rRNA from 1 species